rnacentral:misc_RNA from 1 species
UCUCCGUAGGUGAACCUGCGGAGGGAUCAUUACAGAGUUCAUGCCCUACCGGGUAGAUCUCCCACCCCAUGUUAUUAUUACUUUGUUGCUUUGGCGGGCCGUUAGGCUCCGGCCCGACUACCGGCCCCGGCUGGUAAGCGCCCGCCAGAGGACCCAAAACCCUGAAUAUUAGUGUCGUCUGAGUACUAUAUAAUAGUCAAAACUUUCAACAACGGAUCUCUUGGUUCUG